GGAUAAUUACUACUCAGAUGAGUUAGAUGAAUCUCUCUUUCUUUCUCUCUCUCUCUGGGGAUUAAGGAGGAGCUGAUCAGCUAGAUGAUUACAUGCUAUGUUGCCGUGCACCCACUAGCAGUUGAAGCUGCCAGCAUGAUCUAAACUUCCUUCUCUGUCGAGAGGAUAGAUUGGAUCAUGUGGUAGCUUCACCUGUUGUUGGGAUCACGAAGAAAAGAACCCUUAGUCUGCUCCCAGCCGCAUUCAUCGAAUAUACCCACAAGUCAGAACUUCAAUUCCAGUUUCCCCCACAUAGGUUUUGAAUAUCUUUCUUGCUUUCAUGAGUGACAAUUGGUGCUACUCCAGCAGCCGGUUGCAGGUAUCAGUCCACAUCUUCUAGAGGGUUGAGAGGCUUUCACAAUAGCAAAA